GUGUAAGGCUCAGUGCGAGAGCAUCUACCUUGCAUGUGGAAGGGCCAAAGUUCAAUUCCUGGCAUCUCCA